rnacentral:rRNA from 1 species
ACGCUCGACACCUACUGGAGGCAGCAGUGGGGGAUAUUGCACAAUGGGGGAAACCCUGAUGCAGCAACGCCGCGUGAAGGAAGACGGUUUUCGGAUUGUAAACUUCUGUUCUUAGUGACGAUAAUGACGGUAGCUAAGGAGAAAGCUCCGGCUAACUACGUGCCANCAGCCGACGGUAAUCUGAGGCGGGCUGGACAAGGC